rnacentral:rRNA from 2 species
UUGGAGGGCAAGUCUGGUGCCAGCAGCGCGGGUAAUUCCAGCUCCAAUAGCGUAUAUUAAAGUUGUUGCAGUUAAAAAGCUCGUAGUUGAACUUCGGGGUUUACCCAUUGGUCAGGCUUAAUUGUCUGUACUGGUGAGAUAAAUCUCUACCUUCUGAGGAACUUUCAUGUCAUUAAUUUGGUGUGAUUGGAAAUCAGGACUGUUACUUUGAAAAAAUUAGAGUGUUUAAAGCAGGCUAACGUCUGAAUACAUUAGCAUGGAAUAAUGAAAUAGGACGGAUUGAUUCUAUUUCGUUGGUUUCUAGGAUCACCGUAAUGAUUAAUAGGGAUAGUUGGGGGCAUUAGUAUUCAAUUGUCAGAGGUGAAAUUCUUGGAUUUAUUGAAGACUAACUACUGCGAAAGCAUUUGCCAAGGAUGUUUUCAUUAAUCAAGAACGAAAGUUAGGGGAUCGAAGACGAUCAGAUACCGUCGUAGUCUUAACCAUAAACUAUGCCGACUAGGGAUCGGACGAAGUUAAUUUUAUAAUGACGCGUUCGGCGCCUUACGGGAAAC